AAACUGUGUUCCCUCCGGGACGGAUCCCGAGUAGUGCGGGGCACGUGAAACCCCGUAUGAAUCCGGCAGGACCAUCUGCUAAGGCUAAAUACGACCUGGCGACCGAUAGUGAAACAGUACCGUGAGGGAAAGGUGAAAAGCACCCCGGAAGGGGAGUGAAAUAGAACCUGAAACCGUGUGCUUACAACAAGUCAGAGCCCGAUCUAGGGGUGAUGGCGUGCCUUUUGUAGAAUGAACCGGCGAGUUACGUUUACCAUGCAAGGUUAAGGUGAGAAGCCGGAGCCGCAGCGAAAGCGAGUCUGAAUAGGGCGAUUGAGUAUGGGGACGUAGACCCGAAACCGUGUGAUCUACCCCUGUCCAGGGUGAAGGUGCGGUAACACGCACUGGAGGCCCGAACCCACGCACGUUGAAAAGUGCGGGGAUGAGGUGGGGGUAGCGGAGAAAUUCCAAUCGAACUCGGAGAUAGCUGGUUCUCCCCGAAAUAGCUUUAGGGCUAGCCUCGGUGAAUGGAGUGGUGGAGGUAGAGCACUGAUUGGGUGCGGGGCCCGCAAGGGUUACCAAGCUCAGUCAAACUCCGAAUGCCAUGAACUUCUUGCCGGGAGUCAGACAGUGAGUGCUAAGAUCCAUUGUCAAAAGGGAAACAGCCCAGACCAUCAGCUAAGGUCCCGAAGUGUGUGUUAAGUGGGAAAGGAUGUGGAGUUGCCCAGACAACCA
rnacentral:rRNA from 1 species